UACGUAGGGACCAAGCGUUGUUCGGAUUUACUGGGCGUAAAGGGCGCGUAGGCGGCGCGGUAAGUCACUUGUGAAAUCUCUGAGCUUAACUCAGAACGGCCAAGUGAUACUGCAGUGCCAGAGUGCGGAAGGGGCUACUGGAAUUCUCGGUGUAGCGGUGAAAUGCGUAGAUAUCGGGAGGAACACCAGUGGCGAAGGCGGCUACCUGGCCCACUCUUGACGCUGAGGCGCGAAAGCUAGGGGAGCAAACGGG
rnacentral:rRNA from 1 species